UGAACCCCAGCCCGGCAAGAAGUGGAGUGUGCGAACUUAACUGCUGUGCCACCGGGCCAGCCCCAUUGACCCGAGUUUAAAGGGCUAGAGGGGAGGAUAUCAAGAAUUUUGGGCAAACAUCACAAGAGGAAGGAAAUAAUCAUCUACAUAAGCUAGGCAGAAGCUGGAGAGGGGUGAGGUUAGGUGUUUAUUGGUCAGGAAGCUGUCAGGGAAAGAACCACAUCCCAUGUACCUUGAGCAAAAACAGGACUUGAUUAGCUCCUGGAAGUGAAGGCCAAGCUCAUUUUGACUCCAGGCAGGGCUGGAUCCAGGGCUCCAGUGGUGUGGUACGGGCAGGCCCCCACCUCCACCCGGUAGACAGAUUCUGUCCAAGUGGUGGGCAAGACUCGUAUUCUUUUAGCUCAGUGACCAGGGAGAAAGCCUUUUCUGAGAACCUGAAUUUCAAAGAAUUCUCUGGCCUGACCUGGGUCACAGGUCCAACUUUCUCCCAGUCCUUGUGUCCUUGGAGGAAUUGGAGUGUGCUGGGGGAGGGUCAGCUGAUGGAACCAGAUGGAUGGUUCACUACCACCAAGAGGAGUUCUGUCCCAGCAGACAGGGCAAAGGAUGCUGGACAGGCAGGGGAACGUGUCCACAGCAGGUAGUGCUGUGCCUAACCUCCCCACACCAUCUGCCAAAACCCGAGCGGUAUUCUUACCUUUUGUUUCGGCUUGACAACAGCCCCCUGAACCACAGGGCCCCCUGAGGUGAUUGUGGAGUCACGUGACCGCAUGAGUUCCUGGAAACCCCAUCUUAUAGCAGAUGUCAAGAGGACUAAGUGUAGACAGUUCCUUUGUUCCAAGGGAUUUGGAGCCGUGACAGAGUUCAUUGAAUACAAUGUCGGCAGAGCAAUAAGAGUGAGGGUACUGCUCUGCAGUGUUAAACGAAUGCAGCCUCUGGGACCACCAGGGACGGCUGCAGGUUGGAGGGAGUCCAGCGCUGCGUAGGUCACCACAGAAGAGUUGUGAGUUAACCCAGGAAAAACGCUGACCUGCUAGUAAUGAGUUACUUGUGCAGCUUCAUUUCCAGUGUCUUUCCCAUGUGCCAUAUGUGGUCUUCAGGUCAAUGGAAUAUUAUUCUUUAUCCCUAGUAGAAUAAUCUCAUGAACACUUUUAGAGAAUUGUUUAUUUACAGUAAAAAUUAGCACAUGUCCUGUGCUUGAUGUGCAUGCUUCAAAGAGUUCUGGGUGAGGAGGCACGUGGGGCUGGGGCAUGGACCGGUGGAGAGAAUGAGCACAGAUUACUAGAAUGCUUUAGAAAUCCUUUUCUGCUUCAGAUAAGUGGCUAAUUAAAUUUGGGGUUGGCUACUGGAAAAGCGCCAAUUAUGGAAACGAGCAUCUGUUGAUCACACUUUCCUUCGGAUGCUUGGCUCCUUAUGAGAGCCGGUUGGAAAGAGAGCAGGAGCCACUGCUAGCGCCACGACAAGCGGGCCUGGCAGGAGGCGUGAUUCAUCAUGUUUACUUUCAGGCUUUCAUCCUAUAACAAGACUAAUUCAGUAGAACUCAACUUCCAGGGAAAAAUGGACCAUUUAUUGUUUUAGAUUCGGGCUCAGGCACAGCAGGUGGAUUUUCCAAAUUGCCUCAUCUGACAUUUCCUAGAAAUGUAAGCUAACGUUAUUCUAUUUUUUGGCAACUGUAAAGUUAUAUUUGAACAUUCUACAAGUCAGUUGGCAGGACUGAGAAUUUCAAACACUUAACUAUCUCUCUGGAGCUUCAGCUUGAUUUUGUUGAGUGAUUUUUAACUGUGAGACAGUCAAUUUUUAGAUCUGAAAAUCAUCUCAGAAUAUUUAAGUCAUUUGCCAAAGGUCACUGAAUAAUAUACACAUUAGAGCUGGGAACUGAUGAAUAUUGAUUGGAAUCCAGUUCUUUUAUAUCUCAGAGUCACUUGUACAAAGCGACUGUGAUUUGCCAUGUGUGUAACUUUGUUUGGCACAUGGAAUAAGUGAAGAUUUUUGACAUCCAUCUUCUCCUUAUGGUUUUUCCCCCUGGUGCUUCCAGGGCUUGCUUACCAUGGUGUCUGCUCACCCUAAGUGAGCAUGGAAAGCUGCAAACCACAUUUACUCUUUUUCUAGAAGCAAACUUUCCUGCUGUGUGGGGCAGAUCCAACAGGCAAAUCCACUUUGCCAACAGUGAUGCCAUAGUGCAGGUAAUGAUAUCCUUUGAUCUUUUCAGUUGGAAAUGGUAGGCCUAAGCAAAUUAAAUCCAAGCGAGUGCCAUCAGUUAAUGACUUCUUAAUUGUUAGACAUGCCUGAUCUCCACCAGUUGUCUCUAAGACAUUACUUUAAUUCACUAUUUUAAUAAAUUUUUCUGUGUUCCUUUGGGGUUUCUCUAUUCAAUGAUACUUUAGGCUAUUUUUCAGUGUUUUUGCUUGCUUAUUUUAUGGGUGUCACAGAUUUCCCCUGUACGACUCUGUAUCUUUGGGGUUAUAUGCUAUAACUGUAGUCUUUUCUUGUUUAUAGAAUUUCUGAUAUUUAAAAUAACUCUUAGGUUGACAAAAGGCAGGCAUUUUCGGGGGGGGGGGAGGUGGUUCAGGUUUGAGUCGAUGAGUUUGGGUUUAGACUUGUUUAUUCAGUGCCUCUCGUACCUCACGCACUCAGAAAUGGUUUGGAACUCAGAAGAGACCUCAGGGCUAGAGACAGAUCUUUGAAAUGAUUGGUUUAUAAGUAAUAUGUGAAACCAUGAGAAUAGAUGUGAACAUCCAAAGGAGAAGGCACAAGCUGACAAAAAGCUAGUAUCAAGGGCAGUUGGGUGAGGUCUUAUGACUGGCGGAGAGAGAGGAGGACAGUGCAUUCGAGGAGGUUGGCAGCGAGAAGUAGAACUGAGAGGUUUUUUCAGGGCAGAGAGCAUUGACUGUGUUUCUUGGGGAGCAGAGGAAAAGGGGAGUUAGUGGCGAUGGAGGCACUGAAGAAGAGAAUGGGGCCUGUGAGUGGCCUGAGGUUUCAGGGUGGUGGAGAUGGCAUCAGGUGGGUCUGGGAGGAAGGAGGUGAGUGAAAAGACAAGUUAGGAGGUAGAGAGGAGAGAAGUUGAGGGAGCCUUUGGUCCUGAUGCUCUCUCCCUUCUCAGUGAAGCAGGAGGCUGGGCCAUCUGCUGAGCACAAAAGCAACACUGGUGGAGUUUAGGAGCAUCUUUAUACAUUAAAAUAUAUGGUGCACCUAGAUUUUGUGGAACUCACAUAUUACAUUUCCAUUUUGGAAUCUAAAUCAUUUUUCACUUUCUUCUGAAGGCUAAAGUAUCAUGAUCAAGAGCCAACGACUUAUACCAAAAGCCAUGGAAGUGUGAGGGUCUCGUCACUGCUUGUAAAACUCAUCCUGGGAACUUCUGAGCAGCGGAAGGCUUCCCUUCAGAUGUACAACUUGGUCUAACAUUGCAAAUCUAUGCAGAUCUGAUGGCCGGUAAAGAGCGAUGGCCGAGGAAUUUACGCUUUAACCAACCUGAUAAAUUGACUCACUCUUUGAGAAUGCUAUCUUCUCUGGAGAUAGAGUAAAAACUCCUUGGGGGAGGGAGGUCCCUUGAGAAAUGUUAGUGUUCCUGAAGUAAUAAUAGACCAGAAAGCCUCUUAUUAUGGGAUGAGUGUGACAGCUAAGAAACGGAAAGAAAUACAUGUGAGUCAUAUAAAAGCCUCAUUCCACGACCUUCAGCCGUUGUCAGUCAUAUUUGGGAAGACGUUGUGAGGAACUUCAAUAGUUUAUAUCUUGUAUGAUGCUUAUAAACACUCUACUUUAGCUUCGCCUCUGAUGAAACAGGAGACAAAUACGUAGCUUUACUUUCCUCCUCAGUUUUGACAAACUUGCUGCUCUGUGAGGCAGACACGCCUUUAGCAGUGUGAUGGGCAGUGAGGAAGGGACGGGGAGGGACGCAGGCUUCUGUGUCUCAGCGGAGCCCUUAGAAUUUUAAAAUUUGCUGUUUUCCUUUGGGCUUCUCACCUCCGCCCCAGGUUUCCCAUUUCGGGGCCUAACUGGGAGUGAGCCCAGAGCAGGCUCGCCCCACGCAGCCACGGAGCUCAGCAGGAGUUUGCCUGUUCUUGUCCAGGCUUCACACCGCACCCUGGGGUUGGGUACAGUGGCUUUCAAAACCUCAGGUACAGCCGGCUGGAACCUGUUUCUUCUUGGCCAGUGGCCAACUUUGAGGCCACGGUGCUGUGACUCUCCAGGUCCUGCUAAUUGGCACCUUCAGUUACACAUGGGUUAGGGAUGCUGGAGGGUGGCACAGCAUAGGGGGCACUUCAUCUUUCCUUAGGACAACCUAACACCGUAAGACCCUUAAAGAUACAGUGAACUAAGUGAACAAAUUAAGGAAAAUUAGAACAAGAAGAAUUGGGAAGAUUUUGCCUCUGUGUAAAAUUUCCCAACUUGUUCUUCUUGAAAGAAAGUAGCUAAGAAGCGUUUAUUAAGCGUUGGUCAUUUAUGGCUCAUAAGCUCUUUCUGAGACUCUGUACCCUCUCUGGCGCACAGCUGUGGGUGUGACGUGCCCUCAGACUGCAUCUAGUUUUCCUUUUCCAGAGCACAUGUCUCUGUCAGCUCCCGGAUCCUGAUGAACCUCUAGAAAAAGGAGACUCUUUGGUCGGACACGGACCCUGAGGCUGUUUCCCUCAGUGCUGCCAGAGGUGCGAGAAGACUCUUUUCCUACCUGAAAGGAGCACAGCUGUCUGCUCAGUGGGUCCAUCGUCCAUUGCUCGAAGCUGGAGAAGCAGCAGGAGCAUCCCAGAUGGGCUGAAACGCCCCGGCAUCGUCGUGAGGCCCUCGGCAGCUUCCUCCUGUGCACGUGAACGGAUCUGGAGAUAGUCUGUGAGCGUCUCCUUUCCUGUUUUUAUCAAGUGUUCUCUGUUUUCUACGGAAUCUUCAAACACAGCUUGUGUCUUAUUUACUGUUGGAUGUAUUAAGGACAGCGUUUUCCCACUUCUGAAGAGCUUAAAAAACAGGCCAUAUUCCUAUUUUUCUGAGAAUUUAGUUCUGCCUGUAAGUAAGAAGACAAAAAUAGCCUCCUAAAUCUACGGUCCUUAAGUUGAUCUUCCUCCUAGCUUUAUUAGGAAACCAACAGGACAGUGUGCAUCAGGGUGGGGUCAGGGGUGAGAGAGGAGGUGAAAGGUUGCUCUGACUUAGGUGCCUGGCAAGGCUUUCAGCCCCUGAGCCCAAGGACUUGCUGCAGUAAUCUAACAUCAACAGAAGAAGCAUUCCAGGACCAGAGAGCAGGGCCAAGUACAUGCAUGAAUCAGGGCCAUGGGUUACAAAUUGAUCUGGAAGUGAAACGAUGAGCCUGCACUAAGCUUUUACAGCGCUGGAUUCCAGGAAAUAAGGUGAAUGCAUCUCCAACGUAGUUAAUUUCAAGCUGGAGCUUUCAGAACUUUGACCCCCUUUCUUCUCCCUAAGGGGUUGGGAACAUGGUGGACGUUUGUCUGGUUCGUUCAAUCUCUGCUCAGCAUCCCCCUUGCCAUCUGGAGGGAGUUCCCUGUGUGAGUCGUGUUGGGGAGGUCAGUGCUCUACCCUGUCAAGGGCGGGCGAUCCCCGCUCCUGCCCCAGACAUCCAGGGGCGGUGCAGGAGCCAGGCCCAGCCAAUCAGACCCUCCUCUCCGGGACUCUGAAUAUCAGGGAGUGAAGCAAGAUUCAAAGAUAAUUCAGAAGCCACUUGUGGUGAUGGCGUCAUCCUGUGGGCAGCAGUGGGUCAGCAGCAGGGACGUGGCCUCGGCUAGGUCCUCAUGCCCAUCCUUUCUGGGUUUCCAGGGCAUUUCCUAAGCCUUGUUCUCCAGUCCUCCCAUCCAUCCUGGGGUCUUUUCGAUGACCUUCCAAUGCAUUCCAGCUUAGAAAGCGUUAGCUGGGGCUGACCUCUGUUGCUUGCAACCAAGAAUUAAAUGUGGCAUCUGAUGUUUCUGUGCUCAAACCUAAAGAAGUGUUUCCAGUGCUGGAAGCAGGCAGGGUAUGCCCCUCCACACAAAAGCAGCUGUACUUAAGAGAUUUUAAGACAAAUCUAGAGUCAAGGGUUUCUGGCACAUUCCAAAAGUGGACACAACUAACUUCAAGUAGAGAGAAAUUUCACUGAGUAUGGGCUCCAAAUAGUCAAUAUUCGCAGGUGUGAAUCGCAGGCCACAGACCUAGGUGGCAAGAGAUACUGAAUUUUUUCAUGUAUUUAAAUCAAUGUAAUUUCAACUUCACCUUUUCCUACAUAGCAAGAAGGAAAUGGAUCCCCAGGCACACUGGACUGCCCCAGAACCCCCUGACCCCAAGGGUCAUUGGGAAGCCCAGGGUCUCUUAGUGCCAGGAUGUGGGGGAGGCUCUCUGGUCAUCAGUCACUGGACUGCAUUGGUGACUGGUGAGAUACCCAUUGUCCUGGCCAGUGCAGUCCCUUAGGACCUGCUGGCUCUGUUUUUCCCUGUGGCACUUUAAGCAUGGAGAUCUUUGGCAAGGCGGAUGCCUAGAGUCCCGUCUUCCCAGACACACCAAAAGGUAAACCCUUGAAGAUUUGGUCGCCUCCGUAGGGCACUCCUAUGGACGUGGCUCUGGUUCCUGAUGCUGAGGAACCCACAGACCUCUGUCCCUCCCUCCUAUCUCCAGGAAUCUUUUAGUCUGACGGACAUUCCACUGUCUUCAAAUUUCCCUUACAGGACCUCCCCCAGCACAACCACCAAAUACACACACACAGACACACACACCAAUAAACUAAUGAAUGGCAUAAGCUUUUGAAAAUCAAAGUCAAGAAGGAAAAUAUCUCACAGGCAAUUGAUGCUUUCUGCUCUGUCACAAACCUGCUCUCUGCUCCAAGGAGAGAAGGGAGGGGGUCGCUACAUGCGGUGGGAGGGGAAUAAAAACAAAUUAAUAGAUUUUUCAAAGUCUUGUCAAUAACGUUUAAAAUGAACGAGGGGAGAAAUAAAAUAGAAUCCUGAAAAGCUAUCAGCUGCCAAAUAGAAGGGUUAAUUGGAUUUGUAUUUGGUGUCACUAUCUUCUGUGACUCCUUAAAGUUUCCUAAGAGACACAAUCUAUUCUGGUGUGAACAGUGUCACUCCCUCCUUUCUGACCCUAACUUUUUAGAGUCAGGAAUGAGGAGUGUUUCUUGUCUACAUUCUGUGAACCAAGUCAGCAAUUCUAUCUGUAAUUAAUAUGGGACUUCUACUCCAACUGGAAACACAUAUUUGUGUUACAAAUUAAAUAUCAUAUCAUCUGCAAUCAAGCUUCUUACUGAGUGCCAGGUUCCAAGUGCUUCUUUGAAUAGAGUCCGUUUACUAUUGACUUUCCAAUUUAGGGUAGCAAGGCGACUUGGGUGAGGUAUCUCUGCCAGCAUGUGAGCCUAAUAAUUCACUGGUACGUUCAAAGUAAGCAUAUGCCAAAAUUUUUUACUCAUUAUAGGUGCUGAUUCCAAAAAGCAAAGGAUCCACAUUUGGGGAAUUUACACGUCUAGUUCAUUCCACACAUAUAAGGCUGGAUCCUGGUGAAAUUGGUGAAUCACUAGGAGGGAGGGUCAGAUCUGCAUAAAACUGUAACCACUAUUGAGUCACAGAAACUCUGAUUGCGAAUGGGCUUAAACAAUAGUGAGACUUAUUGUUCCACUAACAAGGCCAGACUUAGGCUGGGUCUAAGAUUGGCUAAUCCAGGAGCUCACUGACAUCAUGGAAGACCCAGAUCCUGUCUCUUGUUCCUCUCUGCCACCCUCUGUGCAUUGGCUCCUCCACUUGUCCCAAGACAGCUCAGGCACUUCCAAGCAUCUAAUUGCAGCAAGAUUUCUAGAGUCAGAGGAGGGGAAUGGUUUCUUCCUACUUAUCUCUUCUUAAUAGCAAGAGAAUUUCUCCCAGAACUACACCCCGACCCCAGCAGAUUUCUUCUCAUGUCUCCUUAGCUAAAACUGAAUCAAGACCAUUCCUUCAAGGCUUGACCCAGGGUACCCUUUUCAUGGCACGAGGCCAUGGAGACCAAAUCUGGGCUUUCCCAAGGAAGGAAGGGGUAGAGUAAACAAGCAACCAGUAGUGUAGAUCCGCCAACUUAUCCCCCAAGAGCUUACAAAUGGCUUGUAAAUGUGUUUUGUACAUUUCCGCUCCUGUGUUUCUUGAGCUCCUCUCCAUUCCCUGGGCUCCAGGGGUUACCUCAACAGCCGCCAUCCCUCCCCUUACAGCCUCAAGUGUCUUUUCUCUCCAACCUGCCCCUGCCCCCCAUCACGUAUGCCCCCUGCAUGUCCCAGCAGCCUUCUAAUUCCCUAUGUAAGGAAGUGGAGAGAAUCCCUUCUUCCACUGACAAGGCUAGAAGAGAGCUCAGAAUUCUGUUCUUCAUUCAUUCACUUAACAUGUAUGUGUUGAGCAUCUCCCAUAUGUCAGCCUGGCGGGAUGCUAGGUGCUGAGGAUACAAAGGUAAUUAAAGCAUAUCUUCUGCCCUAAAGGAGCUUGUAGAGGAGACAAGUAACUGGGCAAACCAUCCAGUAGGGUGGUUGUCAUAGAAACCACAUUACGAUAAGUUGAGGCUUAGGGAAUUAUUGAUAAUGUGGUUCAGGGACACUGUGGGACAAAUAUGCAUUUGCAAGGUGGACUGGGAACCAAGCCACAUUGCUGGUGUUUCCAAAUUACUGGCUUAAAAAGCGAAUUUUGAAGAAUAAUCAAUUCACAAAUUAGAGGCAAUAUAAAGUGUUCCAUAUUGAGAGGAAAGCAUGGGAGGAGGGGUUUAGAUUCUUCAGCUUUCAAAGUUUUCGUGACUUUGUUAUUUAAUAAGAUUAUAUUAGAAAUAUCUCUUUUUGGAGUUUAAUUAGAAGUAAAUAUAUGAUGUUAAAAUAUUCUCUAUGAACUGCUGAAAGUUUCAUUUGAACUUUCAUCAACUUUCAGAAGAAACAAAAUAUUUCAGAAUGAGCCCCUUAAUGAUCUGGUCUCUCUUACUCGCGAGUCCCAUCACUUAUUUCUGAGGGUUGUCUAAGGAGCCAGGGAGACGUUGCAUGAUUCAGAGGCCACUAUCUGAAAACCAUCCUGGAUCCGAAGAUGCUUCCCCAGCUCCUCUUCAGACUCAUCCAGUCACCGUCUCCCCAUCUUGUCCUUUGCUCUUUUCGAUUCUCUGUGCACAUCCUCCUCUGGAGAGGGCAUCUACUUAGGUGAUGCUCCUGUCAUGACCAGGUGCAUUAUGCCCAGAUUUACAUUUUGGCUCUGUCUCUCUUCCAAGUGCUAAUCUCACAUUUCCGUAUGACUGACGGAUAUUUCCAAUUGGGUGUAUGACUAGUAAUUCAAAGUCAGUCCUCUCAAAGUCAUUACGCCCUCCCUCACCGGCUCCUUUUAUUGCUAUUAUUUAUCCAAGGCCAACCAGCUCAAAUCCCGUCUUCCCUGUGAAGCAUCUUCUGAUUACCUUUCAUUCAAUAAAUAAAUAUGUAUCAAGUGCCACUUAGGGGACUCGACCUAUUCUAGACGAGCGUAUACAGCGGUUCCUGUGGGAGCUAUAUCGGACAACGAGAGACGAAUCAUCUCAGCUAAAACUGAUCUCUCGUCUCUGAUCUUCUACAACUUUCAUUGUCUAUAUAAUAAAGACACAGCACUAACAAUGGCUCCCCUUGAAGAGAAUUUGCUGGGGCUGGGCCUGUUGUAAGCGCUCAACACAUAAUAACUCAUUUAAUCUUCACACCAUCCCUGUGAGGUCGCACUUACAGAAGAGGAAACUAAGACACAGAAGUUGAGGAGCUCAUCCAGGAUUACGAAGCUGGUAAGUGAUGAGUUUGCUUUCAGAGACGUAUAAUUGUAACAAAUUCUGUUUGGGGUAAAAAUAAAAUAUUUAAGCUUAAAAUAAUGGGAGUUUUAAUACAUCUACUUUUCAGUUUUCGCUACUUUCUCAACUACGUUAACGUCCCGGAAAAAAAUUAACCGUCAAAAAUACACUGAAACAUGUAUAUAGGAUCGCACUCUCUUCCUUUUGCCUGAGGCUUCAACGUGACGGCACAGCAUCGUUGCAGCCUGCCUUUAUUUAAACUUCUGCUAUUUUGUGCGUCGUGAAUUCUUUGCAUUAAUUUUGAUUUUUUAAACUGUUAUUUAUUGUGAUUCCAAGGUUGAUUUGGGCACCCUCUCAAACUGUGUGCUGAGGUGAGCAUCUUGCUCCAGUCCUGGCCUGGAGUGGUCGAGCUGGCAUUCUCCGGAGGCAAUCUGGCUCCAGAAUAAACCGUGACCUCCUUGAAAUUUGGGGAUCGCAUGGAUGCCCCCUUAUGACCACGGGUUCUGUGAGGAAUAAAAUGCUGCACCCAGGCGGACUUGGAAAUCACGCUGUGAUAACGAUACCAGACGAAAGAUCCUGUGAUCACCAAAACUCUGCAGCUAUUAAAAUCUGCCUAAGGCUUGUCCUGCUUUGAGGAAACGAGGUUUGAAAACUUGUGAUUUAAUCUCUGGCGGCCUUUCCAAGGGGACUGCUCCCAGCCUGUGAGGAAAUGGUCACCCUCUGUGUGAAAUACGUGUGUAUAUUUCGUAGAGCUAAGUGUGUAUUUUUUGUAGAUCUACAAACCUUUGCUCCAGAUGCCAAUCAUUUGAAAUAUUGUAACAGAGACUGCUCCUGCAAUUAAUUUUAUUUGUCCAGUAAGAAAUUGAAAGUUGUAUACAUUUUUCUGUUGCUCAUAGGAUCAGUUGAGCAAGAAAAGGCAGAGUUGAAACUGACAGUAUUAAGAUGUUAUCUCUCCCGCUGCCUGUUGCAAUAUUCUUCCUCAGACUCCGGAGGAAGAUGGUGGGAGGGGACAGGCAGAGGUGGGACCAGAAGAGUAGAGAAUCGUAAACUCUUCCUGGAGAACAUCCUGAGAGAGGAAGUCGUUGCCUUGUCCUGGGUGUGGCCGGCCUCACCUUCCCCGAGUCUGGGGGCUGAGGGAGGGCAGCGGCCAGCAACAGCCAUUCCUAGGGAUGUUUUUGCAUUCCAGAGGAGGGCAGCUGGCAGAGGGAGUGCCCAGUCUGUGGGAGCCAGGCCCGCCCCACCCUUUAGGCGGAUUUGUUAAUUAUUGAAAAGUGCUUCAGAAGCACAAGGUCUGGGAGACUCCGUGUGCCCUUGCUUGGGCCUGUGUGGGAGCUGGCAUUUCUGAGAUGCUGAGGCUCUUCCGGGAGGCUGCGGAACAACCGCGGCUCCUUCCAGUGAGGGGCAGCCUUUCUGGGUCUGGGGCAGAGACCGUCCCGGAGAAUGCUUACACUGUGCAUUCUAUCUCAAGAGAGAAGUUAACUUUAUUCUGUGACAGGAUUUGUAAAAUAUUUAGAUAAAUGAGCUGCACGAGAUUUUCGUUUUGUUUUCUUGUUUCCAAAAUUUUUGUGGUUUUUACAGUUUACAUUCGGGUCAUUUAUACAUAGACAGCAUCAUACGACAUGUUCUGUUUGGGACUUACUGUUUUUCGCUUAACAGGCUCCUGGAGCUCUUUCCGUGUCAGUACAUAGAGGCUCGCCCGUUUCCAGACUGCACAGCCGGAUCAGUUUCUUCACCUCCUAGUCUAUUGAGGGACACAUGGCUGGUUUUCCAUUUUUCACCAUUACAAACAGUCCUACAGCAAACAUUCUCAUAGGCAAGUUUUUUGUGUAUACGUAUAAAUAUUUCUGAAGGAUGCAUUCCCAGAAGUGGAAUUUCUGGACCAAAGGGCAUGCACAUUUGAAUUUUUGUUAAAUAAUACCAAGAUUCUCUCCAAAAAUUCUGCUCCAGUUUACAUAGCCACCAUCAUACUCAUCAACACCGGACAUUAUUGAUUUUUUUUAAAAAAUUGCCAGCAUCAUACACAGAAAAAACUAUGCCAUUUAAAAUUGCAUUUCUCUGAUUUACCCAUUAGGUUGUGCAUCUUUUCCUAUGCCUAUUGACCAUUUGGAUUUUUUUGAACUUUUUUCUUGAGGUGUAUAAAUACAGCAAAGAUACACAAGUCUUAAGUGUGCUGCUGACUGAAUUAACACAAGGUGAACUCCUCUCAUAAGCGCCACCCAGGUCAAGAAAUAGAGUUUUAUCAGACCUUUUCCCACCUCCCCCAGAGUAAUCCCCAUCCUGACAUCUAACCCCAGAGAUCAGUCCUGCCUGGUUUUGAACUUCAUAUAAAUGGAAUCAUACCACAUGCACUCUUUUGUGUCUGGUUUCCUUCGUUCAACAUUAUGUUUAUGAGUCAUUCGUGUUCCUGCCUAUAGCUGUAAUAUAUUCAUUUACAUUGCUCAUUAUAUUCCAUUAAGUGAAUACACCACAGUUUACUUAUUGAUUGACAUUUGGGUUGUUUCCAACUUUUAGCUAUUAGCAAAUAAUGAUGCUAUGAAUGUUCUUUUGCAUGUCUUUUAGAACACAUGCGCACACACUUCUGUUGGGUAUAUAUCUAGAAACGAAAUUUUGGAGUCAUGAGCAAUGUUCUGUCAACCUGGCCAAUUAUAUUUGUGAAUUUCCUAUGAAUAUUCCUUGUGCAUUAAUUAUUGGGUGGUUUGCAUUUUAUUAUUGAUUUGUAUGUGUUCUAUUUAUUCUGGAUGUUAAUUAUGUGUUAUGUCUGUUGUAAAUAUUUUCUCCUAGUCUUUAUUUAUAUUGCCUUUUAUUUCACAAAGUUUAAAAUUUUUAUGCAGUCAAAUCUGCGGGUAUUUUUCUUUAUGGUUUCUGGGUUUUACAUCGUGCUUAGCAAGUCCUUCCCUAUCUCAGGAUUGUCAAAUAUUCCCUUAUGUUUCCUUCUAAUACUCAUUUUAUUUUGAUUUUCACAUUAGGCUUUUUAAUCAGUCUGGAAUUUAUUUUGUGAGCGUGAGAGACAGAGGCUAACAAGUAGGGGAUGAGUAAAAUUAUACCAUUUGCUGCCUAGAUUUUUUUAAUAUUUAUUUUUUAAAAUCUCAAGACAGGUGAUAAAAUCGAAGAGCUAAGAAACUGCCAAGAAUUAAAAAAUUUUUUUGACUUCAGAAGAGUCUUCCCUAAGUAAAGUCUGAGUUAGAUUCUGAAUGGGGCAAAUGUUCUAAAUCAGUGGUUACCACCCAAAAUGCCAUGUGUGUAAAUGGCAUUGACUAUUUAUUCGUCGACUACGUACUGUGGAACUGGAAGGUGCGGUUCUCGUGGACUUCUGUGUCUAAGAGGAGGAGGACCGCCUUCUGGAUCUCAGGGCAGCCUGACUGCAUUCUGGCUCCAGGUUCUUGGGGCAGGAAAACCACAGCUGCUUCCUCCCUCCUGAGGAUCCCGCUCCUCCCAAUCUGAGAAGAUGCCCCAAAUGGACUACGAGCACUGAGCUCGUCCCCGGCAUGGACUGGGGCCCAGUUGCAAAGCCCCAGGGUCAGCUUUUGGUUUAGACAUGACUCCCUCAGGCAAAGCUACCCACCUGAGGGAAACUAUCUUUCCAGCUGAGGGGGUACUGGUUGUAGGGUCACACAUGGGAGAAGUGUGUUUGACCUCAAUUGUGCUCCUCCUGGGUCUGAAAUGGAGCACUGGCUUGCCGCGCCUGCACACUGGCUGUGUUCGCGUGCAAUCAGUUGAGCAUUCGCAGACUCUCCAGUUGCUCCCAAUGUGAAGCUGUUUUGUUCUGCUCGCCCCUCCUCUUUCCUUUGUCCUUACACAGUUUUGGGAAGGCCGAUCUCUUGUGAUUUAGCUAAGAUUUUAUAGGACUGGAGCUUGGCUCAGGGCAAGGAGAAACACCCCCCUCAGCUUGGCAAAGAGCUGGGUUGUAGGUUGGUGAGCUGAAUGUGCGACUGUGAACUGUCUGAGUUGGUUUGCUGGGAAAUGGCUCUGCUGGCCGAGCUCCAGAAAUGUAAUCAAAAGUGGCCUGAAGUCACAAGUUUUGCUGCCUGCAUUCUUCGUUUCACAAUUUAAGGGUUUGGCUGGUGCCUGUCCUGAAAGAAUGAAAUUUUCUACUGCGUGUAGCACAUGACACAGUGUGUGUGUGUGUGUGUGUGUGUGCACAUGCAGUGCACAUGGGCUUGUCUGCACAGGCAUGUUUUACAAAUGAACUGUUUAUACCUACUGGUAGGCAGUGAUUAAAGAACACAGUGUGUGGAAGAUUUUUUCUGAUUUCAGGAAUCGCAUAUCUGAAUUUGUGGGUUAGUGUCUUUGGAGAAAUGUGAUGGAGAAUCUUGCACAGAAGUGCAGCUGAUGCACUAGGUACAGACUCUUGCCUCAGAAAUGCAUGAGGCUGAUUUACUGAGGAGAAUUCAGCCUGCUGGCUUUUGGAGGAACAGGUGUGUUUGACCACACACUGGGGAAGUGAAGACCUGAGUUUUGCAGAAGUCAAAUCUGAGGCCCUCAGCGGCAGUUAUUUAUAUCAGAAUGGUGUGUACUGAAAGCUGAAGCCUUUCGGCCACCGCCGUCCGGGAGCCUGUAGAGAGAGGAAGGGCGUGCACUGAGCCUGGGUAAGCACCUCCUGCCCCAGGAGCGUCUGCUGCGGCUCGGAUCGCUGGGAAUCCACGCCGGGCUCCACUGUUGGCAAAGGGUGCUCACCAGCUCUGCCUCCAGCCUGCCUUGUGGAUGAAACGGCUCGCUUCCGAUUGGUUGAUAGAUGUGACUUGAUUCUUGCUUUUGUUCCCAAGAUGCCCUCCCCCGUGUGAGCAGCUUGGUGUGUGUUUGGGGGGGAGGGGAAGAACAGUGCAUUUUCUCUAAGGUCAAAAUAAGGACAUCGGACCCUAACGACCACCCCAAGAACACAUCAGGGACUCUCGUGUUCACUCUUACCGUAGAUGAAGUCUCUCGUGACGAGCUUCCAUCUUUAUGUCUCUUGAGUUCUAAAGGUCUCCUCCCCCUCACGCUCUUUUGGUUACGGGAAAUGAGUGUGUUUGGGGACAAACAUGUCAGAAUUAUGAGGGAGAAACUUGGCAGUGGAACAAACCACAUGAUAUGCUUGACGAGACUCGAGAAACAAUACGUCUCAGAUUUUCUGACAGUCUUCAAUUUUUGGUUCAGGAAUGUGACCCAGAAGCCGCAGAAAGGGAGGCACUCCUGCAGCUUCACUAGGAUCAUUAACAGUCAGUCUUUACGAAGGAGUCAACAGAGGCUAUUUCUGCACAGAAAGAUGAGGCGUCCGUAGGAGGAGAACUCAGUCCUGCAUCCACCACGGGCAGGUGGAGACUGCAAACGGAGGACUUGCGGUUGUUUGCUUUAAAUCAGAAGACCAAGGCGUUAGACGUCCAAAGGCAGAGGGCCCAGAACGAUGGAGCCGUAGGAGAGCUGGGCGGUGGGAAUCACGAGCACAUUUGCAUAAACACUGAGAUUGUUCUGGGCUCACCUAAUCCCAGUCCUCGGGAGCUGCCUUUUACGAGGGUAAACACGGUUUAAUAGUGAGCAAAUAUUAGUUCUCAUAAUGAAACCUGUUGAGCUGAACAGGAAACACUCAAGGGAGCCUGCAGGCCUGCAGCGAGGGUGCUGCAGGAAGGCACGGUGCGUGGCGUCCCCGUGAAGACAGGGGCAGUGGGAAAGUUCUGAGCUCGUCAAUAAGCCACUGGCCCUGGGAGAGUGUGAGAGGCGGCUGGGGUGUCGGCAUUUUGCUUAUUGAAGGGAGGAACGCUCCUCACAACUCUCUCUCUAUUCAUUCAGGACGUGAUAUUUGCAAGACUACAGCCAUCUUAGGGUUUCAGUCUGUUUUCAGCUUCAGCCCAGGUCUCACCACACAUGUUAGAGACAGGCGGUUCCAGCACAACUUAAGAAGGAAAGCCAGCCUGUCUUCUAAAAUCCAAGUUUGCGCCAUGGGUGCGUUUCUUCCUGGAGGGAGCCAUGUGACUUCUCCCGUCACACCAUCCCGCCUUCCUCUCAUUCCUGCCCGUUCACAUCCCUCAACCUCAUCCUCAGGCUCUGGUGGGAAAUGGGGGGUGUGGCUGCUCUGACUCUGCCUUGAGCUUCUUCCAAACCAGAGUGGAGACAAACGGGUGUGUAAGUCACCACAACCUAUGGCAAGAAAUGGCACAUGCCGCAAGAGAAAAAUAAACAAAGUGCUGAUGGAAAAUUCAUUUCAUUAGGGAGAUAUGUUUGUGCUGACGUUUGAAAUGAGCCUGAAAAAUGAGUAGGAUUGUGACAGAUGGAAAAAAGUGUCAGUGGCAUUAUUACGGUAUUGACGUUUAAUGAUGUCUAAAGGAAUCUGAAUCUGUACAGGACACCAGGAGCUUUUGUGGUCCUGGCCUUGGCUCACUGUUUUGCUGGCAGGAGCCCCCCAACGAUCCUUUGGGGGACCACCUGGCUCCCACUCUCAGCCUAAGUGGUUUGAAUGGGGCUGACCCUGCCCUCUGGCCCCAGGCUUAGGCAUGUGACCCAGACUGGCCAAUGAGAGAACCAUGUUCCCCUAGGCACAGGGUUUGGUUCAAGGGUGGGCAGGUAACCCAAGCUGGACCAGUCCUGUAGCUUUUUCUGGAACCUUGGGAAAAAGGCAUCCUCUUUCUGCUGGGGUUGCUGAGCUGGUGGGUUGUAAUUAAGGAGGCUGCAAGGGGCUGUCUUGUUACCACGGAGGGAGAACCCGGGCGACGGCGAGAUUCCUGAGCACCUGGAUCCGGUCGUGCCUGAAACUCUACUGUUGGAUUUUUCAGUCACUCAAGCCAAUAUGUCCACUUUUUAAUAAGCCAUUUUGUGCUUUUCCCUUGCAAACAAAAAAAGUUCUAACCAACACAGAAAUGUAAUAUGAUCUGCUUUAACAAACAAACAAACAAACAAAAACCUGUGGGGGUCAGAGGUUGCAGAUUCACAGAGCAGGUUCCUAGCAAAAAGGAGUCUUCCUGUCGCUAACAUUUUCCAGGCCAGCCUCCUGGGCCCCAGUGACUAAGAUGUUGGAACCUUUCUUCCUAAACCCCUUGGUCUGAGGCCGCUCACCAUCUAGCUGACUCCCGUGUGCUGGAUGUUUUUCCAUGAAUCAGAAAUGAAAUAUGCAGCGCUGUAGCCACAAAGUAACGCAAACGGCUUAUUCAUCUGUCUCUUCGUUCCCCGCGCCUUGCUUUUUCUGGGUCGCACGUUGUAAGUGAAGAGCCAUGAUGCUAAUCCUGUUUGGCUUUAUUGACAGUUGAAUGGAUUAUUGAGAAAAGCCUUUUAAUCAUCAGAAGCAGACUCCCUGCAGAAGAAUUGCAGAAAGAAGGUGGGACCACUGCCUCGAGUCCACUAACUCUCUGCCCUUCAGGAAAAACGCCGGGCUGUUUCAGUUAUGCGCCACAGCUGGAAACGCAGGAAGAUAAUCUCUUUUCUUCAGUGCUUACUGUGUCCUUUGUACCAAGAACAAUAGUUUGCCUACAUUCUGUCUUGAUUUUGCCAACUAGAGGUAUGUCCUCAUCCUGUUUUACGGUUGGGGAGUGAUGCAGACACCGCCAGUUGCUACCCAACACCCAUUUUCUCCUUGUUUCCUGCACGGAGACAGCCCCAAGCAGAUACCGCUUCUAGUUUAAAGUUUAGGCUCUCUGGGCAAUUACUGCAGACACUGAUCAUUUUGCAAACAUUUUGUCAUUUCUCUCCUGCAGCUAUGGAUGGCCAUGAUAUGGUUCUGGCCACUGAGACUUGAAUAGAAGUCUUCUGGGAAAGUGUUGCUUUCCUGAUAGGAGCACUGCCCGGUCCUCCUUGUUCCUUCCUUCUCCCUACCUGGAAUGUGAGGACGAGGCUUGUGGCGGAGCAGCCAUGUUGUGACCUCGAGGCAACCACAAGGAGGACAGCCAUAUCUGGAGAGUGGUAGAACGGCAAGAUAGAAGGAAAGUGGGAUAUUCUGACAUUGCAAAGCCACUGCUUCUGCCCUGGAAGGCCUACUUUCAGCUUGUUAAGUGAAAAAAAUAAACCAUUAUUUGGUUAACCCAGUGGGAUCAGAUUUGUGUUACAGACAGCUGAAUGCAAUCCCUAACUGACCAGGGAAAUGGAGCUGAAGGGGUUUAAGGGACUUGCCUGCAGUUCCUUACAAAAUGAUGCCACAAAGCUGAAGAAGACACAGCACGUACCCUUGAAGAGUUCAAGCCGAGUUUGGGCGUCAGAUACAUAAGGAAACAAUUGCAAUAUAAUGUCAUUGGUGCAAUGAUAGUGACCUGCCUCAGGUGUCAUGGGUGUGUAGGAAAAAAACAGAAAUGAGACAAAAGGGGAAAGGAAGUUAGCCAGGCAGAGGAGAGAGGUGGGCAAAGAGAUUACAGUUUGAAAAAGGUGUUUAGGUGCGCCCAGCACGGCGUGUGCAGAGCCACAAGCUGGCGUGAGUUGUUGGGGCGUGAAGUUGAAGGAGGGCAGUGGUGAGAAAUGCAGCCUCAUUUAACUCUUGCUGCAUCAUGAGCCACCCCCAAAACUUAGUGGCUUAAAACGACAACAUUUGAUCAUUCUCAUAAUUCUGCCAUCUGAGCUGAGUUCAGCUGGGUAGUCCUUCUGUUCAUGGACUAUCUGCUGGGCUUGGAACACCCAAAAACACUUUUUAACUCCCGUGUUUGAUGCCUUGGCUGGGUAAAUGGAAGAGCCGGGGCUGGCUGCCGUUUCUCUCUCUCUGUCUCCCUCCUCUCCAUGUGGCUAUCUCUGGCUUCCUCGGAGCACGGUGAUCUCAGGGCAGUUGGGUUCUUACAUGGUGGUUGGCUUCCAGUUGAGAGAAGCUGCCAGUGCAUGUGAGGUCUGGGCUCAGAAGUACCCGAACCUCACUUGCACGGCACUCUGUUGAUCAAAGCAAGUCACAAGGCCAGCCCUGAUUUAGCGGGAGGAAGCAGCUUCAGCUUCUUGAUGGGAGGAGCAGUGCGCAUGUGCAGGGAGAGAUGCGUUCACAGUGGUCAUCUUUGGAGACUACCUGCCCAGAGGAAAGAAGCAUGCAGAAGGACAAUCUUGUCUGCUUGUCAGGUAGGUUGACCCAGACCCAGGGGGUUUGCCCUGCUUCCUAUUUGGGAUCUGAGAGGAGAAUGCCUCUCAGACUGCCCCGACCCAUCAGAGUAAAACAGUCAUGUGAUGAGGCACAGCGAGGGCUAGAAUUUGGCUUCUCUGAACCCCCUUCAGUUUCUGUGGGGCGUGGACUGGACUCAGAAGUCCCAUAUGUCAUAGGAGAUGGCUGACUUGAGAGUCAGAGGGUCUAUCCUGGGUGUGCAUGGUGAAAGCCCACGGCAGAGGCUGGAGGGGAGACUGGCGGAGGACCCAGAGUCAGAGGGCAGGGGAUGCUGAGCAGGCUGAGUCCAACUGGGAGAAUGACUGAGCCCUGGCCCAGCCAAGACCCCAGAGGAGUUCCCAGCCACCCUGUGGCAGAAAUCACCCAGGAUCUGGAGGACAUGCUAUGGUUUUAAGCACCUCGUCUUCUACCCUCACAACACCCACCCGUAAGGUCACAAAAGACAGCACCCCUCCCUCCAGUGAAUCCCCCAGAUGCCAUGUCGCAUGUGGGAGAGCAGCGUGGGGAGAGGAGACACUGCAGAGCCCAAGAAUGUGCCUGAGGGACGACCGUGUCCAGAUGACCUCCUCAUGGCAUUUCCUGGACUGCAUCCAAAGUUACCCCGCAAGAGAGGCUCAAAGGAAGAACACUAAGUUACCAUGAAAUAAAGGAGCCGUGUUACAUAAAAUUACAGAGAAAUCGCAGGAAUGAUGACAAAUGCAGGAUAGCAGUUACCUCUGUGGGAGAAGAUGGGAUGUGCGAGGCCACAGGAAGCUUCGGCUAUUCUGGUAAGGUUUUAGGCUUAAAUUUCGGGAGUGGGUACCUGUGUGUUGUUAUAUUCUUUCUGCCUUUUUGAGGGUUUUAAAUAGUUCAUAAUGUAAUUUUUUUAAAAAGUACACUUCUGAAUAGAACUGUGAGCCCCCAGUGCCUGGGUUAGGUCUUGAAUGUGUUACAUGGGAAUGAGGACAUAGAAAGGGGCUCGAAACAGGAGGCAGAGCUACUUGCUAGACAGAUGGCCCUGGCUGGACUUGAGGAAGACAAGAGUGGAAGGGGAGGAGGCGGCCACACCGAUCCCACGAGAGGUAAUGGUGGCCUGACCUCCCAAGUGAUGCCCAGGGAAUUGACAAGACGGGGUGCGGGGUGGGCGAGGCUUCCGGUUUGAGUGAGUGGGGCUGGGGAGCCCCCAUUGACUGAGAUAAGCGAAUCCCGGUGGACGGUGUGUGUAGAUGGAAAAACAAAGAGUUCACUUAGGACAGGGUGGGUUCGGGGUGCCUGUGGGUCGUCCUGGUGGAGAUGACUGGCUGGAGCGGGGGUGCAUGAGUCUGGACCCCAGAGAAGAAGGUAGGGAGCCCCCAGCACUGACACAAGUUGGAUCCGUAGAGGUAGUGACAUGCCCAGAGGGGAGCGAGUGGGAGAGCAGAAAAGAGGACCAGGGUAGACCAGGCCCAACGUCUGCUCAGCCAGAGAAAGCGAUGCUCCCAGCUCUGCAGACACCCUGUGCCAUCUCCUCUGUGAGCAGAAAGACCACUACCCCCACCAGCACCCUCACCAGCACCCCUGCAGCGAGUUGCCCCACCCGGUGGUGGCCCCGUCCCUCCCUGCCGCUGUCCGUUCCACUCUCCACUUCCUGUCCAGGUUUGCCUGCCUGCUUUCCUGGGGCACUGCUUUCCUUUCUCUCCAGGAUUAUUGAAAGGGGCAGAGAAAGGCUUCCGUCCAUAACCAGAUAUGAAUUGAAGUCCUCGCCCGGGAAGUAGAAGGCCCAGCAGCCCGCCUGGGCCUGUCCCCUUCUAGGACAGAGCCUGGCGAGAGCCCGGACCUGGAGCCUCCUCUGAAGGCUGCGGUCUUUCUCUGGGAGAGUCUUUGUUCUGUAGAGAGCAACGAAGAAGGUGACAGGAGGAGAGCCGUGGAGGGGCAGCUUGGAGACCCCGUGUGCCCCAGUCCCCGUCUACUCCCUUGGCUGCUGGCGGCCCGCCCUCCUGUGUGCGCCAGGCCUCUCCUAGCGGACUGCCUCCCGCCCUCAGCUCCAGAUAAGCUUCAGGUAGUCUCGUAGCUCCAUCAGCGCCCUUGAUUUGAAUUUCUAAACUAUGGGCUCUGAGGAAACCCUAUAGGCCUGACUAGCUGCCACUUGAUUGACACUUGAUUGAUUCGACCCCUCCCUCUCCUGAAGAAAGAAUACAACAUUACUUCCUUCUAGAUGGGUUCGUUGGCAAUAACAGGAACACGCACAGGCUGGUCAGGUUAGAGGGAGUGUGCAUGAGAGGGGUACAGCCUGGCCGGACCCACCCUUUGGCCUCCCACCUCCCUUUAUUUUUUGUUGUAAGAAAUACAAGAUGGCAGCCUUCCUCUGUCCCUUUGACAACCUAAAUGUCUCUCUUCUACCCAGACUCUGGAAAUCUCUUCGUUACUUAAAAUUUGGAUUCUGAGGUGAAGUUUCGAUUCUGUGUUGGGCAGGGAACUGCUCUGAGCUCUAGGGAGAAAGUAUGUCUGCCCCAAAUUGGAAUUGAGAGAAAUUGGGAAAAGGCAGACAAUGAAGUUGCAUUUCAGAGGUAUCAGCCUCUCAAAGCAUUUCUCCGAAAGAGUAGGUUCCAAUCACGCAAUGAAAAGGUAUUGGCGAGAAUGUUAGAGGGUUUUGGUUUCCUAAGACGGACCCUAUAGUCAAAGGUCAUGCAGCUCCGUAAUAAGAUAAGCAAGAAAGGAAGGUUCUGAUGUAGAAAACACGCCAACAGAUUAUUCCAACGGUUGUGGCACCACCUCUGAGCCCUCGGACUGGCUCUCAGAGUGAUGGACUCACCGGCACCCGGGGGCUCGCUCGCACAAACCAUAACCUUUUGGUCUUAAAUACAGGCUGAGAAGGCGAGGCAGGUGCAAACAAGCAUCUCCAUGGUCACGAGCUUCCCUUGCACCUGUCAUCGCGCUGGCACAGGACUGUGCAGGGGAAUCAGGAGGUCCCUCGGUUCCUUCCUCUGCCUCCAGACUUUGAACACGGCCACUUCCGGCAGCAGGGCAGCCCUUCCCUCUCAAGGCUCCUCUGGAAACCUGCCCACUGCUUUGGAUUGUGGCAUCUUGAGCAUCUGACGGUUUUUGAUGUGCCUCCUAGCUCUCAGGCCACCCAUUGCUACUACUCCUAUUCUGGGCUUGCCCUUCUAGGGGUGCAGCCCUGCCCCAGACCUUCCAUCUGUCCUUCCUCUGGGCCAGGGGAUAACAGCUGGCUAUUGGAUCAAUAACCUGGGACAGGGCGCGUAGCUAGGUCCCUGAGUCAAAUGUGGUACUUUUCCCAGGUAAUGUAUUUGCAUUUUAAUAGGAGUCCCCUGGGGGGAGGGAGAGUGUUAAUUUAAAGGGAUUUUUCAGGCACUGGAACAAGCUGGUGUGUGUGUGUGUUAUGUGAGGAGAGAGAAGAGGAGGAGGAAGAUCAUGGCUGCCGUUUAUCAACGCAGCAAAAAGGACAUAGAGGAAACCCUUUGUCCCUCUCAUCCAGCGAUGACACUGUUAAUAUCGUGGUGUAUAUCCUCCCAGUACCUGGUGUGGUAGAGAUGAAUGAGCAUCCUCAUCUCUGGCAGUCAAAUUGAGACACUCAAUUCUAUAAAACUCACAAGCUGCAACACAGUUUCUAUGUGUGCCAUUUGGUAACACUUACACUCCUUGUUCCAGAAAUCCCACCUCUAGGAAUUUAUUCUAAAGAAAAAUCUAGAAUAAUAAUACCAUUAGCUACCAUGUUCUGAAUUUUAAUUGUGCACCAAGGGUUUUACACACAUUGGUUCAUUUGAUUCUUGCACCAAGCCUGCAAAGCAAUAAUGUCACCCCUCACCUGAGGCUAGAGAAGGAAAGGACCUUGUCCAGGGCCCUCUGUAGGAGGUGGGUCAGGAGCUGGGGCCCAGCGUGGACGAAGGGACCCCAGGAAAAGGCAUCCUCCACCUGGAUCCCCUCAGAGAUGAGUGCAGCCAUUGUUCCAGAGUCUCCUGUCCCCUCACCUCCCUCCCCAACUCCCCAAUCCCCCAACCCCUCCAACCUACCUCCGCAUCCCCCCUCUACCCCUCCCCCCCGCCAAAUGUGCAAAGGCCCUGAGUGGGAGGAAUGUGACCAAAAGUCUUGCCCUCACCCUCAGGGGUGGGGGGCAGCGGGUGACAGUGCCGCGGUGCCUCCCACCUGUCUAGUUUCAGCUCUUCUUUGACAGCUCCUUGUCCAGGAAGCCUUCGCUCCAUCUCAGACAGUUCUGUCUCUCCUUUGUUCUCCCGCUGUGGUGGAGCCACCGCACAACAGCUCAGAAGAUGCUCUGCGGCCUCGUCACAGUGUUUCGCACAUGUUCCUGGGAUCCCAGUCAGAAUUCUCUGGGGAGCUGUGAAAAGUGCCAAUCAACGGAAUCUGAUUCCCUGGUGCCGAGGCUCAGGACCUGCACCUCACGAGCCUUUCGUGGGCUUGGAGCACACUCGAGUGGGAGAGAAACUGCGUGGCUUACCUGCCUCCUCAGAGCAGGAACUCUGGCGGUGUCCUUUGUGUCCCCUGGCAUUGAGCACAGGGAUGUGCAGCCGACAUAAGUGUGUGUGAAUUCAGUGCAGAGACACAUUUCUCAGGAAGGAAAGUGGAGUGGGGGCGGCGGACGACGUGGGAUAACUGGGGAGGGCGUGAGUGGGAGCCCUUGCAGGAGAGCGAGAGAGGUGGGAAGUCUUAGGCUGAUUUGGGAUGCCCGCUCUGGGGGUCCUCUGAAUGCUGCCAAUAGAUAGUCAGUGAAUGUCUUUUCCCCUCCGCUUUUUCCGCAGACACAUACUUUAGUCCCAGAAAUUAUUUUUGAAACCUGAACUUUCAAUGCCAGAACGAGUAAUUGCAUAUAAAGUGGGUCACAAGGAAGUGAUAACUAAUGCACAGGCUAUUUUAACUGCUGAAUCAGAAAUUUCUAAGCUACAUUAUGAAAUAUGCAGGAAGGAAAAUAAGCAGAUGAUAAGAGUGGAAGGAAUCCUAAAAUAAUGUUUUCACAAACAAAUUCUGGCCCAACAUACGCCUGAGCGGUGGGAGUGGGGGAGCUCCAGUGACACACAAUGAGAGUUGAAGAACUGGAAUGAAAUUGCCAAGCUGGAAUUCUUUCUGAACGACGUAGGACCCCUGAGGCACGUGGCCCACACCCCACAAACCCACAGCCUGCAGGACUUUGGCCGUGUCGUGGGGGCACCUCGUCACUGCUUCACAGCACAGGCAGACAGGGCUAAAGAGAGCAAAGACAGACAAAGCCACAAACAAAAUGUAGAAAUCUGUUCUAUUGGCUAUUCCUCAAACAAAUAAAACCCAUCUUUUUGGUUCAAUUUA